rnacentral:rRNA from 1 species
AACGAACGCUGGCGGCAUGCCUAACACAUGCAAGUCGAACGAGACCUUCGGGUCUAGUGGCGCACGGGUGCGUAACGCGUGGGAACCUGCCCUUAGGUUUGGAAUAACUCCCCGAAAGGGGUGCUAAUACCGGAUAAUGUCUUCGGACCAAAGAUUUAUCGCCUUUGGAUGGGCCCGCUUUGGAUUAGCUAGUUGGUAGGGUAAAAGCCUACCAAGGCGACGAUCCAUAGCUGGUCUGAGAGGAUGAUCAGCCACACUGGGACUGAGACACGGCCCAGACUCCUACGGGAGGCAGCAGUGGGGAAUAUUGGACAAUGGGCGAAAGCCUGAUCCAGCAAUGCCGCGUGAGUGAUGAAGGCCUUAGGGUUGUAAAGCUCUUUUACCCGGGAUGAUAAUGACAGUACCGGGAGAAUAAGCUCCGGCUAACUCCGUG